rnacentral:rRNA from 1 species
AUUGAACGCUGGCGGCAGGCCUAACACAUGCAAGUCGAGGGGAUCGGCGGACGGGAGCGUAAUGCCUAGGAGUCUGCCUGGUAGUUGGGGAUAACGUCAGGCCACGGGCGCUAAUACCUCAUACUAUCAGCUGAUCCUAGGUGGGAUUCGCCAGUUUGUGGGGUAAAGGCCUACCAAGGCCACGAUCCGUAACUUGUCUGAGAGGAUGAUCAGUCAAACUGGAAGUGCGACACGGUCCAGGCUCGUAUGGGAGGCAGCAGUGGGGAAAAGUGUAAAAGUGGAGAAAGGCUGAUCCAGCCAUGCCGCGUGUGGGAAGAAGGUAUUCGGAUUGUAAAGGACUUUAAGUUGGGAGGCGUUACCAACAGAAUAAGCACCGGCUAACUUCGUGCCAGCAGCCGCGGUAAUUC